rnacentral:rRNA from 2 species
UACAGAGGGUGCAAGCGUUAAUCGGAAUUACUGGGCGUAAAGCGCGCGUAGGUGGUUCGUUAAGUUGGAUGUGAAAUCCCCGGGCUCAACCUGGGAACUGCAUUCAAAACUGUCGAGCUAGAGUAUGGUAGAGGGUGGUGGAAUUUCCUGUGUAGCGGUGAAAUGCGUAGAUAUAGGAAGGAACACCAGUGGCGAAGGCGACCACCUGGACUGAUACUGACACUGAGGUGCGAAAGCGUGGGGAGCAAACAGG